rnacentral:lncRNA from 1 species
UUCGGUCUUCAUGUUUUGAACUGUCUCAAUCAGGUCAUAUUUCUUGUAAAAAUGAACACAUUUUAUCCCAACCAUUAACUGGUUUUACACGAUGUUAAAUUAAGCUGAACUAGAUUUUAUGUUUUGAUGGCGUGGCAGUGUAUUAAAAUUGAAUUGGCGAUGUGUUUUAUAACCAUCACAUGUGGCGAUGAUGCUUCUUCUUCUCUCCUCUCCAACGACUGAUCACCUCUCACCUCUUCUACUCCCCC